GCACCAAUGUGGGUAGAUCUUACCUUAGAAGCAAUGUCUAAUUACCAAGACAUUAAUGAUGGGUGGUUUCACACUAGCCAUGUGUUCCACCAAUGUUCUUCUCAUCAGUUAAAAGCAGCAUUUGCUCAUUCUGGUGAGGGUAGUAUAUCCUCAGACAUUGAUAUGAAGCAGCCAUCUUCACCUAAGCUUCCACACUCAGUUUCAAGAUCCAGGGGCAAGCACUAUGCAAGCAACAAA
rnacentral:misc_RNA from 1 species